UACGAAGGGUGCAAACGUUAUUCGGAAUUACUGGGCGUAAAGCGUGCGCAGGCGGUUUGUUAAGUCCGCUGUGAAAUCCCCGAGCUCAACUUGGGAAUUGCAGUGGAUACUGGCAAGCUGGAGUAUGGUAGAGGAAGGUGGAAUUCCUGGUGUAGCGGUGAAAUGCGCAGAUAUCAGGAGGAACACCGGUGGCGAAGGCGGAUCUCUGGGCCAUUACUGACGCUGAGGAGCGAAAGCGUGGGGAGCGAACAGG
rnacentral:rRNA from 1 species